rnacentral:rRNA from 1 species
UGGGGAAUUUUGGACAAUGGGGGCAACCCUGAUCCAGCCAUGCCGCGUGAGUGAAGAAGGCCUUCGGGUUGUAAAGCUCUUUUGUCAGGGAAGAAACGGUAGUAGCGAAUAACUAUUACUAAUGACGGUACCUGAAGAAUAAGCACCGGCUAACUACGUGCCAGCAGCCGCGGUAAUACGUAGGGUGCAAGCGUUAAUCGGAAUUACUGGGCGUAAAGCGUGCGCAGGCGGUUGUGUAAGUCAGAUGUGAAAUCCCCGGGCUCAACCUGGGAAUUGCAUUUGAGACUGCACGGCUAGAGUGUGUCAGAGGGGGGUAGAAUUCCACGUGUAGCAGUGAAAUGCGUAGAUAUGUGGAGGAAUACCGAUGGCGAAGGCAGCCCCCUGGGAUAACACUGACGCUCAUGCACGAAAGCGUGGGGAGCAAACAGGAUUAGAUACCCCUGUAGUCCCUGAGCGGGCUGGCAAGGCGCAU